GACGAACGCUGGCGGCGUGCUUAAUACAUGCAAGUCGAACGGUAAGGGCUGGUUCUUGUGGGAUCUUGGUGUGCCGAACGCGUGUGUAUCACGUGAGUGGACUCUGCCUUUCAGUGGGGGACCAUCUGGGAAAUCGGACGCUAAUACCACAUAAACACUUUAUACACGAGUGGUGUGUUAGAAAGAUGCACGUUCAUCACUCAAAGAUGAUCUCGCGUUGUGUUAGCGGGUUGGUGGGGUAAAGGCUCAUCAAGGCGAUGAUACAGAGCCGACCUGAGCGGGUGAUCGGCCACAUUGGGACGGAGACACGGCCCAAACGCCCUCGGGAGGCAGCAGUAGGGAAUCUUCGGCAAUAGACGAAAGUCUGACCGAGCAAGGCCGCGGGAGUGAAGAAGGUUUUCGGAUCGUAAAACUCUGUUGGUAGAGAAGAACGUUGGUGAGAGUGGAAAGCUCAUCAAGUGACGGUAACUACCCAGAAAGGGACGGCUAACUACGUG
rnacentral:rRNA from 1 species